CACGUAUGGGGCGAGCGUUGUUCGGAAUUAUUGGGCGUAAAGGGUAUGCAGGCGGUUUGGCAAGUCUGGUGUGUAAGACCUCGGCUUAACUGAGGAAACGCACUGGAAACUGCCAGACUUGAGUCAAGCAGGGGGAGCUGGAAUUCCAGGUGUAGGGGUGAAAUCUGUAGAUAUCUGGAAGAACAUCAGUGGCGAAGGCGAGCUCCUGGGCAUUGACUGACGCUGAGAUACGAAAGCGUGGGGAGCAAACAGG
rnacentral:rRNA from 1 species